rnacentral:rRNA from 1 species
UACGUAGGGUGCGAGCGUUAAUCGGAAUUACUGGGCGUAAAGCGUGCGCAGGCGGUUCGCAAAGUCUGAUGUGAAAGCCCCGGGCUCAACCUGGGAACUACAUUGGAAACUAACGGGCUCGAGUGUGGCAGAGGGGGGUGGAAUUCCACGUGUAGCAGUGAAAUGCGUAGAGAUGUGGAGGAACACCGAUGGCGAAGGCAGCCCCCUGGGCUAACACUGACGCUCAGGCACGAAAGCGUGGGGAGCAAACAGG